UUCAUCGCUCGCGAUGUUUAACUGGCAUGAUUGUGGAACGUCCUACCGGUGGGCUUAGCUCCGGUCAAACGGGGCGGUCCAGUUUUAUCCCGUUUCGGUGCUCUUUAUCGAGUGUCGAGGUGGGCCGGUACGUUUACUUUGAACAAAUUAGAGUGCUCAAAGCAGGCUAUGUUCGCCUGAAUAUAAUUGCAUGGAAUAAUGGAAUAGGACCUCGGUUCUAU
rnacentral:rRNA from 1 species